UACGGAGGAUCCAAGCGUUAUCCGGAAUCAUUGGGUUUAAAGGGUCCGUAGGCGGUUUGAUAAGUCAGUGGUGAAAGCCCAUCGCUCAACGGUGGAACGGCCAUUGAUACUGCCAGACUUGAAUUAUUAGGAAGUAACUAGAAUAUGUAGUGUAGCGGUGAAAUGCUUAGAGAUUACAUGGAAUACCAAUUGCGAAGGCAGGUUACUACUAAUGGAUUGACGCUGAUGGACGAAAGCGUGGGUAGCGAACAGG
rnacentral:rRNA from 1 species